rnacentral:rRNA from 1 species
ACCCAAGCUACUAAGAGCCAACGGUGGAUGCCUUGGCACUGACUACCGAUGAAGGUCGUGAGAGGCUGCGAUAAGCCGCGGGGAGCUGCCAACUAAGCUUUGAUCCGCGGAUGACCGAAUGGGGAAACCCGACACUCGUAAUGGAGUGUCACUGCCGUCUGAACACAUAGGGCGGCUAGAGGGAACCGGGUGAACUGAAACAUCUAAGUAACCCGAGGAAAGGAAAGCAACAGCGACUCCCUGAGUAGCGGCGAGCGAAACGGGAAGAGCCUAAACCGAUGUGGUGUGAUAGCCCGACGGCGUUGCCAUAUCGGUGUUGUGGGAUCCGCCCGCCGGUGCGUCGGAACCGGCAGGAAGUUACAAAGCCGGGUGAUAGUAGAACAGGUCUGGAAAGACCGGCCAUAGAAGGUAAUAGCCCUGUACACGAAAUCACUCCGGUCUUCCGGUGGUGAUCCCGAGUAGCGUCGGGGAUAUCUGGCGUGAAUCCGCGAGGACCACCUCGUAAGGCUAAGUACUACUCGACGACCGAUAGCGGACUAGUACCGUGAGGGAAAGGUGAAAAGAACCCCGGCGAGGGGAGUGAAAUAGUACCUGAAACCGUAGACCUACAAGCAGUGGGAGGGGGCGUUUAGACGCUCCUGACCGCCUGCCUUUUGAAGAAUGAGCCGGCGAGUUAGUGCUAUGUGGCAAGGUUAAGGCGUAGUCCGGAGCCGAAGCGAAAGCGAGUCUGAAUAGGGCGCACAGUCGCAUGGUCUAGACCCGAAGCCGAGUGAGCUAUCCAUGGGCAGGGUGAAGCGAGGGUAAGACCUCGUGGAGGCCCGAACCCACCUAGGUUGAAAACUGGGGGGAUGACCUGUGGAUAGGGGUGAAAGGCCAAACAAACUCGGUGAUAGCUGGUUCUCCCCGAAAUAGCUUUAGGGCUAGCGUCGCGUGUUCCGCUAUGGGGGUAGAGCACUGAUUGGGCUAGGGGGCUUACCCGCUUACCAAACUCAGUCAAACUCCGAAUCUCAUAGUGCCAAAGUGCGGCAGUCAGACCGUGUGGGAUGAGCUUCACGGUCGAAAGGGAAACAGCCCAGAUCGCCGGCUAAGGCCCCUAAGUGUGUGCUAAGUGGGAAACGAGGUAGAAACGCCAAAACAGCCAGGAGGUUGGCUUAGAAGCAGCCAUUCCUUGAAAGAGUGCGUAACAGCUCACUGGUCGAGUGUUUCUGCGCGGAAAAUGUAACGGGGCUCAAGCACACCGCCGAAGCCGCGGGAUUUCAUCAUCAACUCCGGCGCAACCAAAGCGUUCGCGCUUUAAACGCGUCCAGAGGAUGGGAUCGGUAGGGGAGCGUCGAGCAGCCAGAGAAGCAGCGGCGUAAGCCAGCUGUGGAGGCUGCUGGAGUGAGAAUGCCGGUAUGAGUAGCGAGAGUGGAGUGAGAAUCUCCACCGCCGAAAGUCCAAGGUUUCCUGGGGAAGGCUCGUCCGCCCAGGGUUAGUCGGGACCUAAGGCGAGGCCGAAAGGCGUAGUCGAUGGAUAACUGGUUGAUAUUCCAGUACCACCAUGCAAACGUCCAGACCAAAUGCGGUCAGCUAAGAAGGGUCCUUCGGGACGCUUCGACCCGGCCACAGGAGGUCAGCAAUGGGAUGACGCGGAAGGGUAAGUGGACCCGGGCGUUGGUUGCCCCGGGGUAAGUGUGUAGGGCGAGGUCCAGGCAA